UUCGUAGGGGGCAAGCGUUGUCCGGAGUUACUGGGCGUAAAGCGCACGCAGGCGGUCUCUUAAGUUUGGAGUGACAGUUGGUGGCUUAACUGCCAAAGUGCUUCGAAAACUGAGAGACUUGAGGGCUUCAGAGGGACACGGAAUUCCGGGUGGAGUGGUGAAAUGCGUAGAGAUCCGGAGGAACACCAAAGGCGAAGGCAGUGUCCUGGGGAGUACCUGACGCUCAGGUGCGAAAGCCAGGGGAGCGAACGGG
rnacentral:rRNA from 1 species